rnacentral:rRNA from 1 species
ACGCGAUGAACCUUACCAGGUCUUGACAUCCCAUUGACCGCUAUGGAGACAUAGCUUUCCCUUCGGGGACAGUGGUGACAGGUGGUGCAUGGUUGUCGUCAGCUCGUGUCGUGAGAUGUUGGGUUAAGUCCCGCAACGAGCGCAACCCUUGUUCUUAGUUGCCAUCAUUUAGUUGGGCACUCUAAGGAGACUGCCGGUGACAAACCGGAGGAAGGUGGGGAUGACGUCAAAUCAUCAUGCCCCUUAUGACCUGGGCUACACACGUGCUACAAUGGAUGGUACAAAGGGCAGCAAAACCGCGAGGUCGAGCAAAUCCCAUAAAACCAUUCUCAGUUCGGAUUGUAGGCUGCAACUCGCCUACAUGAAGCUGGAAUCGCUAGUAAUCGCGGAUCAGCAUGCCGCGGUGAAUACGUUCCCGGGCCUUGCACACACCGCCCGU